AGAUUGAACGCUGGCGGCAUGCCUAACACAUGCAAGUCGAACGGGAGUAGCAAUACUCUAGUGGCGGACGGGUGAGGAAUACGUAGGAAUUUGCCCUUAAGUGGGGGAUAACCCGGGGAAACCCGGAUUAAUACCGCAUGACCUCGAAAGAGCAAAGUGGGGGAUCGCAAGACCUCACGCUUUUGGAGAAGCCUACGUCGGAUUAGCUAGUUGGUGAGGUAAUGGCUCACCAAGGCGACGAUCCGUAACUGGUCUGAGAGGAUGAUCAGUCACACCGGAACUGAGACACGGUCCGGACUCCUACGGGAGCAGCAGGUGGGGAAUGUUAGGACAAU
rnacentral:rRNA from 1 species